GACGAACGCUGGCGGCGUGCUUAACACAUGCAAGUCGAGCGGAGCGGCGAACGGGUGAGUAACGCGUGAGUAACUGCCCCCCUCUCUGGGAUAACAGUUGGAAACGGCUGCUAAUAACGGAUAGUGGGGGAUGACUCGGGUCCUAUCAGCUUGUUGGUGGGGUAGUGGCCUACCAAGGCGACGACGGGGAGCCGGCCUGAGAGGGGGACCGGCCACAUUGGGCUGAGAUACGGCCCAAGCUCCUACGGGAGGCAGCAGUGGGUACUAUUGCACAAUGGGGGAAACCCUGAUGCAGCGGCGCCGCGUGUGGGGUGAUGGGCUGCGGGUUGUAAACAGCUUUCAGACCUGAGGCGGUAGUGGCAGAAGAAGCACCGGCUAACUACGUGCCAGCAGCCGCGGUAAUAC
rnacentral:rRNA from 1 species